AGUGAACGCUGGCGGUAGGCCUAACACAUGCAAGUCGAACGGCAGCACAGUAAGAGCUUGCUCUUACGGGUGGCGAGUGGCGGACGGGUGAGGAAUACAUCGGAAUCUACUUUUUCGUGGGGGAUAACGUAGGGAAACUUACGCUAAUACCGCAUACGACCUACGGGUGAAAGCAGGGGAUCUUCGGACCUUGCGCGAUUGAAUGAGCCGAUGUCGGAUUAGCUAGUUGGCGGGGUAAAGGCCCACCAAGGCGACGAUCCGUAGCUGGUCUGAGAGGAUGAUCAGCCACACUGGAACUGAGACACGGUCCAGACUCCUACGGGAGGCAGCAGUGGGGAAUAUUGGACAAUGGGCGCAAGCCUGAUCCAGCCAUACCGCGUGGGUGAAGAAGGCCUUCGGGUUGUAAAGCCCUUUUGUUGGGAAAGGAAAGCAGCAGGUUAACACCCCGCUGUUCUGACGGUACCCAAAGAAUAAGCACCGGCUAACUUCGUG
rnacentral:rRNA from 1 species